AGAAAGAGGUCUAAGGAACGAAGUCGGAUAAAAGGGAAGAGAAAGGAGAAUCCGAGGCCGUCAACGUCGCAAAUAAAAAUUCGAUACCAUAGCCAUGACUGGGAUGGCUGUCAUGGUAAUCGACGAUGCAGACGUCGCGGAGAAAGAAGAGGCAGAAGCGAGCAGUGGGCGGCAGGCGACGGGCGGCCGUCUAAUUAUUAUUUAUAUACCUAUAUUGAUAAUAUUUAAAUGAAUAAAUUGUAUAUAUAGAUCAAUUUA